rnacentral:rRNA from 1 species
CAGCACCUCAAGUGGUCAGGAUGAUUAUUGGGCCUAAAGCAUCCGUAGCCGGCGCUGUAAGUUUUCGGUUAAAUCUGUACGCUCAACGUACAGGCUGCCGGGAAUACUGCAGCGCUAGGGAGUGGGAGAGGUAGAUGGUACUCGGUAGGAAGGGGUAAAAUCCUUUGAUCUAUUGAUGACCACCUGUGGCGAAGGCGGUCUACCAGAACAUGUCCGACGGUGAGGGAUGAAAGCUGGGGGAGCAAACCGGAUUAGAGACCCGUGUAGUCC